UACGUAGGGGGCUAGCGUUGUCCGGAAUCAUUGGGCGUAAAGAGCGUGUAGGCGGCCCGGUAAGUCCGCUGUGAAAGUCGGGGGCUCAACCCUCGAAUGCCGGUGGAUACUGUCGGGCUAGAGUGCGGAAGAGGCGAGUGGAAUUCCUGGUGUAGCGGUGAAAUGCGCAGAUAUCGGGAAGAACACCCGUGGCGAAGGCGGCUCUCUGGAACGCAACUGACGCUGAGACGCGAAAGCGUGGGGAGCAAACAGG
rnacentral:rRNA from 1 species